UNCGGUUCCUUCCCUUAGCUAAAGGGGUUCC
rnacentral:piRNA from 1 species